rnacentral:lncRNA from 1 species
UUUAGGUCGCUGCUCAGUAAAAACGCCACUCCAGUUUAUAAGCUUAUAACAGAUAUUUUUGGACUUAUCUUAAAGUUUGAAGGGAGACUGCGAUUGUCGCCAUGGGAAAAUGAUAAGCAAACAGGAUAUGUUAAACAUCCCUUCUUUAGCAAGUUAAAAUCUAUUCAUGAAACUUUUAAACAUUGCACAGAGUUUCUAUUCUCAAUAAUAUCAAAAUUAGUACGUGGUGGUUACCAAGACCACUUAGACGAUCUGUUGCUGCAAGUAAACUUUAACGACUUUUAUACGACAGCCGUCGUCAAAAGUUAAAGAAUAUCGUGCUUUUUUUGACUAUUAUUUAUUGUUAUUUUUGAAGUAAAAUCAUUUUUGUGAUAUGUUAUUUCAGUGUUGCACUGUAUUGCUUCAAAUAAUUACUUUUGUGAGAACUAAGUUUCCCACCUAGUAACUAAGUUGGUAAGAGUAUCAAUCAAAUGGACAGCUAGGGGGUGCGAAUAAGUAAAAACACUUAUUU